rnacentral:rRNA from 1 species
UACGAAGGGUGCAAGCGUUAAUCGGAAUUACUGGGCGUAAAGCGUGCGCAGGCGGUUUGUUAAGUCUGAUGUGAAAGCCCUGGGCUCAACCUGGGAAUGGCAUUGGAAACUGGCGACCUAGAGUGCGGUAGAGGGUAGUGGAAUUCCCGGUGUAGCAGUGAAAUGCGUAGAGAUCGGGAGGAACAUCUGUGGCGAAGGCGACUGCCUGGGCCAGCACUGACGCUGAGGCACGAAAGCGUGGGGAGCAAACAGG